rnacentral:rRNA from 1 species
GAUGAACGCUGGCGGCGUGCUUAACACAUGCAAGUCGAGCGAACAGACGCGGCGCUUGCUCCUCUGACGUUAGCGGCGGACGGGUGAGACACACGUGGACAACCUAUAUAUCAGACAGGGACCACUUCGGGAAAGCGGAGCUACUACCGGGUAAUAUAUUGAACCGCAUGGUUUUAUAGUGAAUGACGGUUUUGCUGUCGCUUCUAGAUGGAUCCGCUCCGUAUUGGCUAGAUGGUAAGGCAACGGCUUACCAAGGCAGCGACGGGUAGCCGACGGCAGAGGGUGAUAGCCCGCACGAGAACGGGGCCACGGACCAGACGCCUGCGGGAGGCAGCAGAAGGGAAUCUGCCGCAACGGGCGAAAGCCUUGCGGAGCGACGCCACGUGAGUGAUGAAGAUCUUCGGUGCGUGAAACCCUGUUAUGAGGUAAGAACAAAUUUGUAAGUAACUGUGGACGUCUUGACGGUACCUAAUCAGAAAGCAACGGCUAACUACGUG